UGGGCCGCAAUGUCCUUCUCUAUGUUGUAUUUCUCCAGCGCCUGGGUAGCGCACUCCACCGAGUCCUGUUGCAUCUCUUCCGACAUGUCCGCAUUUUUGAUCACCGCCUUUCGGUCGCACAUGGUUACCUAGGGGGGAAGCCAGGCACGCCACAAUGGGGGGUGUGGAGACGGCCUCAGGCCUCUCCACUCGAGGUCGCAGCUCGGAUCCGCUUGCAGACACCUCCGUUCACACCUGCGGCACAGCCGCAGCCCUGACG